rnacentral:rRNA from 1 species
GACGAACGCUGGCGGCGUGCUUAACACAUGCAAGUCGAACGAUGAAGCCUAGCUUGCUAGGUGGAUUAGUGGCGAACGGGUGAGUAAUACGUGAGUGACCUACCUUUGACUCUGGGAUAAGCCUGGGAAACUGGGUCUAAUACCGGAUACGACCAAUCUCCGCAUGGGAUGUUGGUGGAAAGCGUUAUGGAGUGGUUUUAGAUGGGCUCACGGCCUAUCAGCUUGUUGGUGAGGUAAUGGCUUACCAAGGCGACGACGGGUAGCCGGCCUGAGAGGGUGACCGGCCACACUGGGACUGAGACACGGCCCAGACUCCUACGGGAGGCAGCAGUGGGGAAUAUUGCACAAUGGGCGCAAGCCUGAUGCAGCGACGCCGCGUGAGGGAUGACGGCCUUCGGGUUGUAAACCUCUGUUAGCAUCGAAGAAGCGAAAGUGACGGUAGGUGCAGAGAAAGCGCCGGCUAACUACGUG